CUGGGUGGAUCAGUGGCGAACGGGUGAGUAACACGUGAGCAACCUGCCCCCUACUUCGGGAUAAGCCUUGGAAACGAGGUCUAAUACCGGAUAUGAGCACUUACCGCAUGGUGGGUGUUGGAAAGUUUUUCGGUGGGGGAUGGGCUCGCGGCCUAUCAGCUUGUUGGUGGGGUAAUGGCCUACCAAGGCGUCGACGGGUAGCCGGCCUGAGAGGGCGACCGGCCACACUGGGACUGAGACACGGCCCAGACUCCUACGGGAGGCAGCAGUGGGGAAUAUUGCACAAUGGGCGAAAGCCUGAUGCAGCGACGCCACGUGAGGGAUGACGGCCUUCGGGUUGUAAACCUCUUUCAGCAGGGAAGAAGCGAAAGUGACGGUACCUGCAGAAGAAGCGCCGGCUAACUACGUGCCAGCAGCCGCGGUAAUACGUAGGGCGCAAGCGUUGUCCGGAAUUAUUGGGCGUAAAGAGCUCGUAGGCGGUCUGUCGCGUCUGGUGUGAAAUCCCAUGGCUCAACUGUGGGCUUGCAUCGGGUACGGGCAGACUAGAGUGCUGUAGGGGAG
rnacentral:rRNA from 1 species